UCAGACAUGUCAAAUGCAUCAGGUUUCACUAAAAACUGUGGGGUUGGCUCUUUAAUGUGACUCUGAGCACAGUGAGGACCAAAAUGCCCUGAACCCAGCAUGGAUGUCCUCUGGUCUGGCUGUUAAGACAAAGCUUUGAUCUCAUCUUGAGAGGCUCCCGGGCGGACUUUUUGCUGGAGGUCAGGAAAUAGACUUCCCUGGUCAGUCCUGGGAGAGAACCCACGCUGACAGUGGAAACCCAGAUUGAAACAACAUGUUCCCAACCUCUCUCAAAUGCAAAGCUCUUUGCUCGUCUAUUGUCUGAACCUAUUUUUACCAUGAAAAGCUCUCCAAUGUCAUUUUAGCUAUCAAUAAUUGGCAGUGAGUUUUUGCAAUUAACAGCUGCCCAGAAUCAAUUUCAAUGAGCUGCACAGAAAAAUCAUUGCCAAAAAAGCACAUUUGGGGAUUACUCAGCUGCUUACCUGUUCCUCAAUCCUUUUCUUACCCAACACGUCAUCUCUAGGAAGAACCUGAAACCUGAACCAUGUGCCUAAAGGCCCAGUUCUGAGUAUCUGGUAGAUAUUUGAGAAAUUCUCUGAUCAAUGUGUCCCUAGAGGAAAGGAAUGGGCAGUUCCACAAGGAGCUGCUGUGUAAUUCAUAACAAAGAGCUGACUCAUAACUCCUGUCUAAUUUCAGACAAAAGACCCCAAGGAAAGAUUUGGGUAAAUAAGUUGGCCUCAAAGGAAAGCCACUGAAGUUUACUUGUUCCUUCAAAGGAAAGCAAUAAAGGAUCGCCAACUGUGAUGGGCACAUCUCAAGCUUUGCUGGUUUAUCUCACUCAUCAAUAAUACCAACGAGGGUCUUCUGGGAAGCUGAACUCCCCACCCAUCACACCCAAGCCAACUGGAGACAUAACUCAAAGCCUUGUUCCUUAUCUGGUGGGCUUGGGGCAAGAAACCCUCCAACGGCAGCAACCUGGGAGGAAGUGCUUGCUAAGGCAAGAGGUGGGGCAAGGUGGAGCCCAGAGGUGCACAAGCUCCCAGAACCCUCAGCCGCUCAGUCUAAGACUCUCCUGCCUGAUUCCACCUAGAUCUUCUUUAAAUCAGCCUCAGCCCAGGAGUUAUCCCGGGGCCUGGUGUUUACAGCCGAGCCCCAUAUAA
rnacentral:lncRNA from 1 species